rnacentral:rRNA from 1 species
AACCAACAGGGAUUGCCUUAGUAACGGCGAGUNAAGCSGCAACAGCUCAAAUUUGAAAUCUGGCUCUUUUAGGGUCCGAGUUGUAAUUUGCAGAGGGCGCUUUGGCUUUGGCAGCGGUCCAAGUUCCUUGGAACAGGACGUCACARAGGGUGAGAAUCCCGUACGUGGUCGCUAGCUAUUGCCGUGUAAAGCCCCUUCGACGAGUCGAGUUGUUUGGGAAUGCAGCUCUAAAUGGGAGGUAAAUUUCUUCUAAAGCUAAAUAUUGGCCAGAGACCGAUAGCGCACAAGUAGAGUGAUCGAAAGAUGAAAAGCACUUUGGAAAGAGAGUCAAACAGCACGUGAAAUUGUUGAAAGGGAAGCGCUUGCAGCCAGACUUGCUUGCAGUUGCUCAUCCGGGCUUUUGCCCGGUGCACUCUUCUGCAGGCAGGCCAGCAUCAGUUUGGGCGGUGGGAUAAAGGUCUCUGACACGUUCCUUCCUUCGGGUUGGCCAUAUAGGGGAGACGUCAUACCACCAGCCUGGACUGAGGUCCGCGCAUCUGCUAGGAUGCUGGCGUAAUGGCUGUAAGCGGCCCGUCUUGAAACACGGACCAAGGAGUCUAACAUCUAUGCGAGUGUUUGGGUGUAAAGCCCGAGCGCGUAAUGAAAGUGAACGGAGGUGGGAACCCGCAAGGGUGCACCAUCGACCGAUCCUGAAGUUUACGGAAGGAUUUGAGUAAGAGCAUGGCUGUUGGGACCCGAAAGAUGGUGAACUAUGCUUGAAUAGGGUGAAGCCAGAGGAAACUCUGGUGGAGGCUCGCA